GGGGACAUAGCUCAGUUGGUAGAGUGCUUACCUUGCAUGCAUCAGGCCCUGGGUUCAAUCCCCAGCACCACCA
rnacentral:tRNA from 1 species